AGUGAACGCUGGCGGCAGGCCUAAUACAUGCAAGUCGAACGGCAGCACAGCAGAGCUUGCUCUGUGGGUGGCGAGUGGCGGACGGGUGAGGAAUACAUGGGAAUCUGCCCAGUCGUGGGGGAUAACGUAUGGAAACGUACGCUAAUACCGCAUGCGCCCUUUGGGGGAAAGCCGGGGACCUUCGGGCCUGGCGCGAUUGGAUGAGCCCAUGUACGAUUAGCUAGUUGGCGGGGUAAAGGCCCACCAAGGCGACGAUCGAUAGCUGGUCUGAGAGGAUGAUCAGCCACACUGGGACUGAGACACGGCCCAGACUCCUACGGGAGGCAGCAGUAGGGAAUAUUGGACAAUGGGCGCAAGCCUGAUCCAGCCAUGCCGCGUGAGUGAAGAAGGCCCUCGGGUUGUAAAGCUCUUUUGUCCGGAAAGAAAAGCAUUCGGUUAAUACCCGGGUGUUCUGACGGUACCGGAAGAAUAAGCACCGGCUAACUUCGUG
rnacentral:rRNA from 1 species